rnacentral:rRNA from 1 species
UACGAAGGGGGCUAGCGUUGCUCGGAAUUACUGGGCGUAAAGGGCUCGUAGGUGGCCAACUAAGUCGGACGUGAAAUCCCUCAGCUUAACUGGGGAACUGCGUCCGAUACUGGAUGGCUAGAGUUUGGGAGAGGGAUGCGGAAUUCCAGGUGUAGCGGUGAAAUGCGUAGAUAUCUGGAGGAACACCGGUGGCGAAGGCGGCAUCCUGGACCAACACUGACACUGAGGAGCGAAAGCCAGGGGAGCAAACGGG